rnacentral:rRNA from 1 species
GACGAACGCUAGCGGCGUGCCUACUACAUGCAAGUAGGCCGCAGUUGCGAACGGGUGAGUAACGCGUAGGUAACUACCUAUUAGAGGGGGAUAACUAUUGGAAACGAUAGCUAAUACCGCAUACUAGUAGAUGGACCUGCGUUGUAUUAGCUAGUAGGUAGGGUAAUGGCCUACCUGGGCAACGAUACAUAGCCGACCUGGGAGGUGGAUCGGCCACCCGGGGACGGAGACACGGCCCAGAGUCCUACGGGAGGCAGCAGUAGGGAUCAUUCGGCAAUGGGGGGAACCCUGACCGAGCAACGCCGCGUGAGUGAUGAAGGUUUUCGGAUCGUAAAGCUCUGUUGUUAAGGAAGCGGUACUUAACCAGAAAGGGACGGCGAACUACGUGCCAGCAGCCGCGGUAAUAC